UACGGAGGGGGCUAGCGUUGUUCGGAAUUACUGGGCGUAAAGCGCACGUAGGCGGCUUUGUAAGUUAGAGGUGAAAGCCCGGAGCUCAACUCCGGAAUUGCCUUUAAGACUGCAUCGCUCGAAUCAUGGAGAGGUGAGUGGAAUUCCGAGUGUAGAGGUGAAAUUCGUAGAUAUUGGGAAGAACACCGGUGGCGAAGGCGGCCAUCUGGACCGCAACUGACGCUGAGGCGCGAAAGCGUGGGGAGCAAACAGG
rnacentral:rRNA from 1 species